AAUAGAUACCCGGGUAGUCCACGCCGUAAACGAUGUCGACUUGGAGGUUGUGCCCUUGAGGCGUGGCUUCCGGAGCUAACGCGUUAAGUCGACCGCCUGGGGAGUAUGGCCGCAAGGUUAAAACUACAAAUGAAUUGACGGGGAGCCCGCACAAGCGGUGGAGCAUGUGGUUUAAUUCGAUGCAACGCGAAGAACCUUACCUACUCUUGACAUCCAGAGAACUUAGCAGAGAUGCUUUGGUGCCUUCGGGAACUCUGAGACAGGUGCUGCAUGGCUGUCGUCAGCUCGUGUUGUGAAAUGUUGGGUUAAGUCCCGCAACGAGCGCAACCCUUAUCCUUUGUUGCCAGCGAUUCGGUCGGGAACUCAAAGGAGACUGCCAGUGAUAAACUGGAGGAAGGUGGGGAUGACGUCAAGUCAUCAUGGCCCUUACGAGUAGGGCUACACACGUGCUACAAUGGCAUAUACAAAAGAGAAGCGACCUCGCGAGAGCAAGCGGACCUCAUAAAGUAUGUCGUAGUCCGGAUUGGU
rnacentral:rRNA from 1 species